rnacentral:rRNA from 1 species
UACGGGGGGGGCAAGCGUUGUUCGGAAUUACUGGGCGUAAAGGGCUCGUAGGUGGCCAACUAAGUCAGACGUGAAAUCCCUCGGCUUAACCGGGGAACUGCAUCCGAUACUGGAUGGCUUGAAUUCGGGAGAGGGAUGCAGAAUUCCAGGUGUAGCGGUGAAAUGCGUAGAUAUCUGGAGGAAUACCGGUGGCGAAGGCGGCAUCCUGGACCGACAUUGACGCUGAGGAGCGAAAGCCAGGGGAGCAAACGGG